rnacentral:lncRNA from 1 species
CAUUUAAAUAGGCUUUCAUUAAAAAAAAGUUUUGUUUUAUAUAGUCUGAUUAAAACUCCUUUCCUCUCUUUGUUAGUUAACUUUCAUUUUGUUCACUCUUUGAAUGUCACCUUUUUACUAGGUGUCCAGUCAUCCUACAGCCUUCUAGCCUGGAUGGACCAAACUUCUGUUUAAAUUUGCAGAUCACCUGAAAAUUAAGCGCAAAGAAACUGAGGGCUGGAUGUGGUGGUGUAGUUUAAGAAAGGAUUUUAAGUUUGUGAAAUCACUUUCUGUGCUAAACCACUGUGUUUCAUCCCAGAGGUGGCUGAAGUUCUUGGUUUACUGACCUCUUCCUUGCCCUGAGCAAACCAGAACUGUAUACAUUCUCCUGUUGGCUGUAUGUGCUUGGGAAAAAUUAUUCAUCAUGAAAG